GUUCCUGUUCAGGGGGACCUUGGGGGAGGGGAACGACGAUGGACUCGCGACGCCCGAGAGCGUGGAGGGGAGACCAAAGUUUUAACCCAGAUCCUUAUCUUUUGAAGAUGCAUAUUGACGUUUACGAAUGAAAUCAUAUAUCUGGGGAUUUGCUUUUAAAAUAAUUAGGGAUGAGAGGAAGUCAACUGCCAUGUUGGGAGAAGUCAACUGCUAUGUUGGGAGGAUUCUCAAGCUAUCCUGUGGAAUGUUUUGCAUUUCAAGGAACCUCCUGCCAACCACCAGCACUACCUGGCUAGACAUGUGAGUAAACCACCUUGAAAGUAGACCCUCCAGCCCCAGUCAAGCCUUCAGAUGACUCCAACCUUGCUGACAUCUUGACUGCAACCUCAUGAAAGACUCUGAGCCAGAACCACCUAUUAAGCCACUUCUCAAUUCCUGAUUCUCACCUGUGUAACAUAAUGAAUGUUUAUUGCUGUUUUAGGCCACUAAGUUUUGGGGUAAUUUGUUAUACAUUAAUACAUAACCAAUAUAUUUUUGUUUAUCUUGCAUAUCAAAUUUAGAAAUACUUAUACUUCAUUUCAUUAUGUUGACAGAAGCAUGUCAGAAACCCAAGGAAGUUUCAAGAUCUUUCUUGUCCAACCCCUUAUUUCAUAGAUGAGUGAACUACUAUGGACCACAACUGUGAAAUUAGGUGGUGGAAGAGCAGGAACUACAUAUCAGUUCUCCUUAUUCUCAAGCCAAGACUCUUUUCACCUUGGGGAGUUCAUUCUGGCUGCCCCAUUUUCCCACUGGUGGUGGAAGAUGUAUGAGAACGUCUGUCACUGGUUCAGUAGUACCACUGAAAUACACAUUGCACUGAAAUAUUGUUAACCAGCGUAGAAAUUAGAGAUUAGCCAAAUAAGUCAGAUCUAUCUUUUCCAUAUAUAAGCUUGUACAUGUCACUAAAAUGUUGUAAUGGCAAUUCCAGUCUGGAGUUUGGAGACUAAAGGAAAUGUCUCUUUUGAGAACUUUCUCUUUUUGAGAAAUGUCAUUUAAAUGUUGCAGCAUAGAGAAACCUCUUUGGCAGCAAACCAUUUAUUUCAACUCUUUUCAUGUAAAUCCUCUUUUUUAUGUAUUAAACAUUACUUUCUUCUUUCAAAGUAUAGUCAUGUGCCCCAUAACAUUUCAGUCAACAAGGCUCUGCAUAUGUGACUACGAUAGUGGUCCCAUAAGGUUAUAAUGGAGCUGAAAAGUUUUCAUCCCCUGGUGGCAGUUUAGCCAUUUUUAAUGUCAUAGCACAAUGCAUUAUUCAUGUGUUUGUGGUGAUGCUGGUGUAAAAGAACCUACUGCACUGCCAGUCAUAUAAAAGUAUAGCACUUACACUUGUGUACAGUGCAUAAUACUUGAUAAUGAUAAUAAACAACUAUGUUACUGAUUUAUGUAUUUACUACACUAUACUUUUUAUUGUUAUUUAGAGUGUCCUCUUUCUAUUUGUAUAAAAAAAGUUAACUAUGAAACAGUAUGCUGUGCUACAUCAGCAGCAGCCUCGUAUAUCUCAUGUUUACCGCUUCUCUUGAUUGCAUCAUUUUCUCUUGUGCUUGAUUUAAUCCUGGGUUGUUUUGUUUAUCAUGGCACCUAAGUUUACAAAAUACACUGUUAAGGUUGCCAGGAAGAGGCCAUGUGAAGCGAUUGACCUGGAAAUGAAAUUUAAGGUGAUUAAGGACAAUGAAGGUGGAAAAUCAGUGAUGGUUGUUGCUCACCAGUCAGGCAUGUCCCAUUCCACCAUAGCUACGAUCCUAAAGAAUAAGAACAAAGUGAUGGAAGCUUUUAAAGGAUCUGCCUCACUGAAGGCAAUGAAACUAACAAAAAUUCAAGAAGGGCCUACAUCAGAUCUGGAGAAACUUGUAAUGACCUGGAUUGAAGACCAGACACAGAAGGGUAUUCCUCUCAGUACCAUAACAAUCAUGGCCAAAUCAAAGAUUUUGUUUGUGAUGGUGCAAGAAAAGACUGGACCUACUGUGAUAUUGAAUUUACUGCUAGCUCUGCCGGUUUAAGCAGUUCAAGAAUCAUUAUCAUUCAUAAUGUGAAAGGGAAUGGUGAGUCUGCAAAUGCUGAUGUGAAGACAGGUGAAGAACAUUUGGAAAGUCUAGAUAAGCUGAUUGUGGAGAAAAAUUACUUGCCAGAGCAAAUAUUCAAUAUGGAUAAAAUCUCCCUAUUCUGGAAAUGGAUGCCUGGAAGGACUUUCAUCCAUAAGGAAGCCAAGUCAAUACCAGAUGUCAGGGCUUUGUUUGGGGGGUGAAGAUUAGCUCUGAGCUAACAUCUGCUGCCAAUCCUCCUCUUUUUGCUGAGGAAGAUUGGCCCUGAGCUAACAUCCAUGCCCAUCUUCCUCCACAUUAUAUGUGGGACGCCUGCCACAGCAUG